AACUUUCAACAACGGAUCUCUUGGCUCUCGCAUCGAUGAAGAACGCAGCGAAAUGCGAUAAGUAAUGUGAAUUGCAGAAUUCAGUGAAUCAUCGAAUCUUUGAACGCACCUUGCGCCCUUUGGUAUUCCGAAGGGCACACCUGUUUGAGUGUCGUG
rnacentral:rRNA from 5 species